rnacentral:lncRNA from 1 species
GUGUAAGAUGAGAACUAAUGUGCAAAACUAGACAGAAUGUAAGCUUGAAUAUGGAGGCAAGUUUGAUAGAUUUUCUAAAAGGAAAUUUUUAAUUCCCCUAACACUGAAUGUGUACAAAGAUAGGUUUGAUUGACCUUCACUGGAAAUGGAUAGAGAUGGAUUUGAGAACUGGAGGUUUCUGAAAAAGAUAAUCGUUUGAACACAACAUUCUGUAAUAUCUUCCCGGGAAGACCAUUCUUUAAAAGACUUGAUGUCUCCACAUUGCAUCUGGCUCAACUUCCGUAGACUUUCCUGGACAUUUAAUCACAUAGUUCCCUCUAAGUCUUUAAGUUUUACUGCACUUCCUCCAUUUUCUAUUUUUUAGGAUUUUUUUUUUGUGGAUGAUUUUAUUUCUUUUUUUUAUAUUUACUGAGUAAUAGAAACCAUAGCAUAUAUGUGUGUGGUAAGUUUACUCAUGUUCAUGAUAAGUUAACUCAUGACUAGAGGUAUUAACAUAUAUAGAGUCUCCUGAUAGUUGUCUUAGAAGACCAACAAUAUGUGUAUCCAAGAACUAAGUAGAGUGGAUUCACCAUAUUUUCUUUUUCUUUUUAAGUAUGAAAUUGAUACGUGUGCAUUGUACAAAAUUCAGAGAAUAAAUUGCUAUAGCAAUUUGCUAGUCUCUUAUUCUCCUUUUGUCCCACCUUUCUGAUUUACCAGAGGCAUAAAAUUAUAAUAAGCAUCGAAAUGCAAAAUGAUCUACAUUUUCCCUACUGCUGAGGGGAAAUUAUCUUAGAAGAAAAAGACAUAAAUAUGAAAAUCAUCUGGUUUGGUGCUAGCUUUUUCUGUUCCUCUUCUACUCCUAGUUUUCAAGUGCUGUUUACUGCUCUGGAACAAGAACAAGAAAACCUGGGCAUUGCUAGCUUUGGUGCCUCUGUCACUACCAUGGAAGAAGUCUUCUUAAAGGUCGGUUACAUGGAAGAGUCACAAACCGAUCACGAGGCUAUGCAGUCUUCCUCCCAAAUGGGCCAAGCCUCCAACAGGAACCAGAAUAAGAACAUAUCAAGAAAUGUUGAGGGAGCAGAUCCUCCCACCCUGAAUGAAAGCCCUACUAUUAACUUUAAUACCGGGUGUUCUCUCUACAGCCAGCAGUUCCGUGCCAUGUUCAUAAAGAGGGUGAUGUUCAACUGGCGCAACUGGAAACUGCUUUUUUUACAGAUACUGGGACUCAUAGGCUCUCUCGCCUUUCUCUUAAGAUCUAGUAACACUUCUUCACAGGAUGAAAUUAUUAGGCAAAUGGAUUUGAGUCAAUAUGGUCAAACCAUUGUGUCCUUUUCUAUUUCCGGGAAUUCUGAUUUGACUGCAAAUAUCUCAAAACACCUUGAGGGUAUGCUCAAGUCUGACAAUCAAAUACCUCAGGAAGUACAAGGUAAAGCUCACUGA